GUGAAAGUUUCCUAUUACACGGCGCAGGGGAAGGAGCACGUGAGCAGCGUCAUGCUGUACGUGACAAGUGUGGCGGUGUCCCUGGACGUGGAUGUGAAUCGGAUCGGCUUUGUGAGCCGAGGAAUGAAAAACAAGG